rnacentral:rRNA from 1 species
UACGUAGGGUGCGAGCGUUGUCCGGAAUUAUUGGGCGUAAAGAGCUCGUAGGCGGUCUGUCGCGUCUGCUGUGAAAUCCCGAGGCUCAACCUCGGGCUUGCAGUGGGUACGGGCAGGCUAGAGUGCGGUAGGGGAGAAUGGAACUCCUGGUGUAACGGUGGAAUGCGCAGAUAUCAGGAAGAACACCCGUGGCGAAGGCGGCUCUCUGGGACGGUACUGACGCUGAGACGCGAAAGCGUGGGGAGCGAACAGG